UAUUCAAUUAGGAUGGUUUUCGCGAUCACACAGUAUAUAAAGGACACCAGGUUUUUCUAUACAAGAGAGCUCAGAUAUUUGCAGGAGAUUUAUGGGGUGCGUUCAAGGGUCAAGGAUAUGGUGCUUUCAAUGAUAUAGGUUCUCUAACCAUAUUUGCGGAUUACAUUGUUCCAGCUGUGCUUAGGCAGCUUGGUGUUCUGAGAUACAGUUCGUCCCUUGCCAAGACUAUUGAUGCCAACAUGGAGAUAAGUGCUGGUAGUGAAGAGGAAGUAGAAAUUCGAGCUUGCACCAUUUAUGCUGUGGAAAAUAUUAAGGACUUGCUUAGCAAAAAGGUUGGAAAACAGGUUCUAAGCGUAGAAUUGGAUCUUUGGUUGUGGUCUGUUGGCGUAAGUUGCCAAUCCUUGAGACACCACCGUACUCUUUCAAUAUUCUAUUGAGUGUGUUAAUUCAAGCCUUUCACAAAUCUGAGGAUCACUAACAAUAAAAAGAAAAGAAUGACAGAAAAGAGAUAGUCGUGAAGAAGACCAGGGACCAUUUUUGUUUUAUUAGUUGGAGGUACACAGUGUGGAAAUGGGCUAUACAAGUGGGGGAGUUUCAAAGAGUAGCUUCCCUUGAUAGUGGCUUCAUAGUGUUUACUAUCUUUGUGCUUAUGGGGGUCCAGAAGUUGAAGUUAAUGCAUGUUCCUGGACUUUGUUAUCAUUUGUUUAAUGCAGAUUACACUCAUUUUAAGGUUUGGAUCUUUAUGUGAAUUCUUAAGAGUUCUCUACUGUCAUUACGGAUUGAUAAGCUCAAUAUUCAUAGUUACAGCUACCUCUGGAAUGCAUAUAAGUAUGUUUGUUGUAUAUUGAGCAAC